ensembl:lncRNA
CUCUUCUCCACUGCAACUGGGCCCCACCAUCCCUACUUGCAACUAGUAUGCAGACAACAAGCCACAGAGUUGGUGGACGAAGACCAGCCUGCGGACCAAGAGAGCGUCCUUGCGGAGACGUUGACCCACGACGUGGAGACGGCAACCAACAAGAUGGAGGCAAAGAAGGAGCCUGUGGAGGCCAUGGAGGAGCUGGAAGAGUCGAAGGUAGUGGAGGUGGAGGAGGCCCGUCGGAGCGUGCCGCAGUCCCCCAUCAGGCACCUCUCCCCCGGGGGGCUUCUCUGCCAGGCGGACACCCUGAGCUCCAGCGCCAGCAUUGAGGAGCUGGGUCUCUGCACGGCGGAGCAGCUGGUGAGGCUGCACGACGCCCUGGGCGGCGUGAUGCGCAGCGUGGUGCUGGAGCUCCAGAGCCGCCUGGGUCACAUGGACGGCACGCGCCGAUAGGCCGGCAGCGACAGUACACGGAGAGACAAC